AUUAGUGUUAGAUCCCGUACUUUUUGUUUUUAGUCUUUUCCACUGCUCUACCCAAGCCAAAGAGAAGAUACAGAACAGUACAAGGAGUUCUGAUAAAUACAUUGUUUAUCAACCAGCUACUAUCAAGUGGANUAGGCUGCUUGGGAUCAUGGUGUCUGUGCUCAUGUACUCAUCUCAAGAUCCUAAAAGAGCUGAAAAGGAAAUCUGGCUACUCACCCAUCUUCCACUCACCAUUUGAAUCCAUCAUGCUUCUACAAUAAUCCAUAGUCAUAAGAUAGGUAUAUUUCUCUCCCCAUCAUGUUCUUCUGAAGUGUUCUACAAAUUGCCACAUCUCACAUCUGAUCUUUCCUGUUUUGUUCUCCCNCUUUACAAAAGGAACCCUAUGCCUNUUGCCCAUAAUAGAUAUAGUAUCUUUGUUGUUGCCUUGUUAAUAUGCUUGUAAGCUAAUAAAAAUGCCCU
rnacentral:lncRNA from 1 species